GUGAACUUUUUAUGUUUCCCUUUCUGAAAAGAAAAACAGCAUUCUUUCAUGCAUGCAUUUUUAUUUGAAAUCAAUAAAAGGUAAUUCCUUUAAGGUUUGGUGGCCAGUUAGAUCACCACAAACUCUGUUUAAUUUUCUUUACAAAAAGGACACCCCCAGUGGACAUGCACUUCAUUACAGGCCUGAAAAAUCUUUUAGAUGAUAAUUGCAGCUAUUUUAUCAGCAGGGGUGCAGCAACUAUUAUAUCUGAGGAGUGAGACAUGUCUUUAGGUAAUGUCUUUCAAUGCAUGCUGCUGUUAAAUGGGUUUAAACAACACAAGACCAUGCAGAACCUAGAUAACCUGGGUAAAAUUAAUUUACAAGACAACCUAGACAGUCUUAGAGUGAAUCUUUUGAAUAAAAUAAAGCUUAUAAGAGUCUACAGAUGUUUCAGAUAAUGGACAAAAGUGUUAAAGUUAUAAGACAAAUACAAACGUGUGUUGGAGCAGAAAUGACACCCAUGAAAUAUGACUCUUGCCUUGUGGCGAAAUGCAUAAUGACAGUUAGGGAGGUUGACAGCCUAUUUUGACAAGUGAAAGCAGACAUGGCCCAUCUAAAAACCUGCCUGUCGAACUGGUCUACAUUGCUGGAUGAUUCAUGGUUAGGGACUUCGUUAUGAAUCAUUGACAUUUAUCAAAAGAAAAGAAAAGAAAACAGUACACUAGAGUAAAUUAGAGAUUAGAUGUGUUAAAGUGGCUACAAUCACGCAAAGGCAGUCUAAUCGGUUGUUUUGAAAUGUAAGCACUGUUUUUAUUUAGUGGCAACCAUCAACACCUCUUUAAAUCUGGCUUUGUGUCUCACUCAGCAUGUUCUUUUAUUAUGGCUAUGUUGCUAUGACAUGUUCAGUUAAUUAUCAAGAUCGUUAUAUAUGUUCCAGAAUCACUUUUUUCCAACAUUUGACAGGAUUUCGGAAUGCAAUCAAGGUGUUAUUAUACAAAGAAAAAUCCAUUAACAAAGCCCUGGAUCUUUUAUAUCCAGUGGAUACAUUGAGAAUGCACCUGUGUUGUAAUAAAAACGCAAAUAUGGAUUAAAGCUUUCAAACAAUUCCAACCAUCCCACUGUAACUUAGAUGAUUUUAAUACCUAUUUAACAAAGACAGUACUUUGGCUGUCAGCCCAACCACAGCAAAACACAUUGGUCAUAUUUGGAAUGCACAUUAACAGAGUCAUUUCUCUAAUCUGUGUUUCCACACAAGACCACCAGCACAGCUUUACAUGACAUAACCGUGUCCAUCAAAUCCACACUGUGGAUACACCGUCCGUCAGCCUUUCUCUCACUAACCACUGGUGCUUACACAGCCAGCUGUUAGACUAGGUUAUUAGUUUCAGCAGUAGAUUCAAACUCUGUUGACACAUUAAUGGAAACCAAAGAGAAAUUAGAACAGGAAGUGUUCUACACGUCCCCAGUCAGGAGAAGAAGGAAAAUGUUUACGGAUGUGUUUGCACAUCUGUUGUUUAUCAUUACCAAGAUUUCUGUCUUGGGAGAGAUGAUGUUCUAAUGGUAGCAGUUCAGUAGGGCUAAAUGCCUCUUUGUAGUAUGGGAUACAUGAUUAAUGGAGGUGUUUUUACAAUACAUGUUGCAAUUUUGAAUCAUAAAAUAACUAAGAGAAAUGUAUGUAUAGGUACUACAUGUACACUAUCCUCUAUAAAGCAUAUAGUUAAAGGAAUAGUUCACUAAAAAUGAACAUUCUGUCAUCAUUUACUCGCCCUCAGGUCAUUCUGAACCUGCAUGACUCUUUUUUUUUUUCCACAGAAAUAAGUCAUACUGGUUUGGAACAACAUGAAGGUGAGUGAAUGAUUUUAAAUUUUUGUGUGAACUAUCCCUUUAGGAGCCAUAUGUUUGUCUUCAUGCGAAAUGAGCUUUGAUGUAGGCUUUAUGGCGUGUUUAUUUUUGAAGCACCAUUUGCUUAGUGUGUACUCAAGAUUUGACAGGGAAACAAACCAGCUGGUCUUGUCUUUGUUGCUCGAGGAAAUGUCACGUGUGCCAGUAGCUCUUUUACAUUACCCUCAUGCCUUGCUGUGUGAUCACCUAGAAGACACUUUUGUGAUCUAUUUCAACAUUAACAAGAAUAACAAUUGCCAAAUGUGUAAUUGUGAAAUUGAACACCCUUUUGCUAUACUUGAGCACCCUUUUGAGUAAAUCUUACAAAUCUUUCAGGGUCAAAGGUGAAAUUGUACUCUAAAGGGACAGUUCACUUAAAAAUAAAAACUCUUUCAUCAUUUACUUACCCAUAAGAGAAGAUAUUUUGAACAAUGUUAGUGACCAGUUUUGGUGACCACUGAUUUUGAUGGUAUGUACAAAAAAAAAAAAAUCUUUGUUUGUGUUCCACAGAAGAAAGAAAGUCAUACAGAUUUGGAAUUACAUGCUAUCCCAUUACCUUAAGUAGUUUCCUCUUAAUUUUCACAAUUACACUGUUCAUGAACAUUAUGCACAAAUUAUUGUUUAAAAGGAGCAGUGACCUUAUAUUCUACGUGUUCGUUGAUUUAAGUGCUAUUCCUUCCUCUUCAGAUGGUUUAAGACCUCCCCCAUGAAUAGAUGCAGAUCUUUUCUUAGCUCUAAUUUUUAGAACCACCACAAUACAGAUCACAGCCAGUAAUAAUAGGCCUACAAGCCCUGCACACAAAGCAUACAUUGUCAGGCUAGUCUCAGUCUCAGGUUCUGGUUCAGUCUCAGGUUCUGGUUCAGUUUUAGGUUCAGGUUCAGGCGGAGCUGCAUUAUCCCCCAUUCGUUUUAUAACAGGUUGGUGGGAAAACUUUAGAUUGGUGACCUGCCUAAAGAGACACAUGUCCAUGUAUUCUUCAUCCAUUAUCCAUAUAAGGUGUUCCUCCUCAUCAUCUUCGUUACUGCCAUCAUCACCACCGUUAGCAUCCUCAUCAUCACCCUCAUCAGUCUCCUCAUUGUCCAGCAGCACCACACACCAGUAGGUCCCACUGUCCUCUUUUUGGGGAUCAGUAAAGAUGAGAGAGGAAUCUACCUGUGAGAACUUUACCCGACCUUGUAAAUCAUUGGGUGGGGUUAAAGAAGGAUCCCCUCGGUCCAUUAUUUGGAUGUCCUUCUCACCAUUCUGUCGAUACCACAGAACGCUGGCGUACUCAACUUUACCGCUAAAUGCUGGUAAAGACAUAAAGUUACAUUGGAGGACCACCUUCUCAUCACUUUCAGAAAACAAAAUAUCAGUUGAUUCAUGCAAAGGGCACACAUUCAAAAAAUAAUGUACAACGAGGAAGGUAGAGAAACAUUUAUAGCUCCCAGAAUGAUCUGAAAUGAUCGACUGAACGACUAGGGAAUAGUUAUCAGAAUUAUUGCUUGUCAACACAAACAUCCGCUUUUCGGUUGUCCCUUCUGGUGAGGAUGAAUUAAUUUGUCCAAAGGGUGUUUUCCAGUGAUUCUGUCUGAGGGGGUCUACUGAACAUUUAAGGAUGACAUCUUCUCCGUAAGAACGGUAAAUAGUCUUCAAUUCAGGCUCUUCUGGCAGUCCUAUGGUUUGGAAGCUCCUGCAUUGCUCUCCCUCCAUGACCUGACAGAAAAAACGAGGUCUGUCCUGGAUAAACUCAUCUGAAACGUGUAAAAAUGAGCCUUCGCCAUGAACCUGAAUGAGGCUUUUAAACUCCGCUUGUAAUGGCUCCAAAGAAAUCUUAGUAUCCAUGAACAAAGACACGUUGUGCACAUCUCUGUACCAUUUCACUGUAGCAUGCUUUAUGGAAUCCAUAUUGCAUACCAGAUCUGCACCUGUGCCGGAUGUCAGUGAAAUUUCCUUAAUGCCGAAUUCCUUGUCACAAACAUACAGAUAUUGUUUACUAUAAUUUUCCAUAGAGCUAUCACUCCAGCACUCUCUGAUGUAGAUGCCAGAAUCAGAGAACUGAAGAUUUGUGAGCUUCAGACCAAGCAGCCCUUCAACUUCAGUGGAGAACCUGAUCCGACCCUUAAAGGCAUCAGGUGGUGAAACUGUGGGAUUUGAGAACUGACCCAGUAGCUCCUUUCCAUCAGCAGUCAUUCUAUACACAGCAAUAUCACUGCCAAAGCAAUAACCCAUCUCAAGUUCCCCACCAAGAGCUUUAAAAACAGGCUCUGGGUCUUUUUCUGCAAAAGUGCUCACCAGCAGAAGAGUGAGAAGUAUCACAGUGUUCCUGGUUUGAACCAUCCUGUUCUACUCUGUCCAUUCGCGAGACUGGAUUCAGUCUGUUGCCUUCCACAUACUCAGAAAUUUGAGUAACCUGUUUCUGAAGUUUGGCAUUAAG
ensembl:lncRNA